rnacentral:sRNA from 1 species
UCUUUGCUUUCUCAACGAUGGUUCUGUG